GAGGGUUUGAUCCUGGCUCAGGGUGAACGCUGGCGGCGCGCCUUACGCAUGCAAGUCGUGCGGGGUGUGGGCUUCGGCCUGCACCCAGCGGCGGACGGCUGAGUAACACGUGGGUAACCUGCCCGGAAGUGGGGGAUAACCCGGGGAAACCCGGGCUAAUACCGCAUGUGCUCCAGGGGGGAAGCUCCCCUGGAGGAAAGCCCGCGAGGGCGCUUCCGGAGGGGCCCGCGGCCUAUCAGGUAGUUGGUGGGGUAACGGCCCACCAAGCCGACGACGGGUAGCUGGUCUGAGAGGACGGCCAGCCAGAGGGGCACUGAGACACGGGCCCCACUCCUACGGGAGGCAGCAGCGAGGAAUCUUGGGCAAUGGGCGCAAGCCUGACCCAGCGACGCCGCGUGGGGGAAGAAGGCCUUCGGGUCGUAAACCCCUUUUGCCGGGGAAGAAGUCCUGACGGUACCCGGCGAAUAAGCCACGGCUAACUACGUGCCAGCAGCCGCGGUAAGACGUAGGUGGCGAGCGUUACCCGGAUUUACUGGGCGUAAAGGGCGUG
rnacentral:rRNA from 1 species